rnacentral:misc_RNA from 1 species
CUCGUAAAUUUCGAGCAACAACUAUUCACAUUAUAAUGUCACUGCAAUUAAAGAAAUGUUACAAAGAUAUAGGAUUUUUUUUUAUUAAUAAACAAGAAAUUAAAUUUAUAAUCCUAUUCCAUCAAUACAAAAUUUAGGAGCCUCUAUAUGCUUGCUAUGCGAAUUAACUAAUAACUGAUAAAUUGUUUAGAAAGAAAGAAAGAAAGAAUAAAAAUGAGAUCCCUUAUCAAUGGUGAUCGACCCUGCAUGCAUGCGGCCGCCGGUUAAUGUUGUAAGGGUAAGUUGCUUGGAUCCUAUGAUUUCUCUUCUGAAAGAACCUUUGAAGUGAUCUCUUCAUCGACAAACCAUUAUUAUUAGGGCCAUAAGCAGGCGGAGGAGGAGGUUCCAAAGUUGGCGAUACAGGUUGUUCCGACGACAACGAAGACGAAGAAGAAGAAGAAG